rnacentral:rRNA from 1 species
AUAGCGUAUAUUAAAGUUGUUGCAGUUAAAAAGCUCGUAGUUGAACUUCAGACCUGGCUGGGCGGUCAGCUUAACAGCGUGUACUGUCUGGCUGGGCCUUACCUCUUGGUGAGCCGGUGUGCCCUUUAUUGGGUGCGUUGGGGAACCAGGACUUUUACCUUGAGAAAAUUAGAGUGUUCAAAGCAGGCCUAUGCCCGAAUACAUUAGCAUGGAAUAAUAAAAUAGGACGUGUGGUUCUAUUUUGUUGGUUUCUAGAGUCGCCGUAAUGAUUAAUAGGGAUAGUUGGGGGCAUUAGUAUUCAGUUGCUAGAGGUGAAAUUCUUGGAUUUACUGAAGACUAACUACUG